AUCCAAAUCACCUUGGAUCUUAUUAAAUUGCAGCUUCUGAUUCAGUAAGUCCAGGUAGUCCUGACAGUCUGCAUUUCUAACAAGCUCUAAGGCAAUGCCCAU
rnacentral:miRNA from 1 species